rnacentral:rRNA from 1 species
AUGGAGGAUAACAAUGCACUGCAAGUUCUUAAUCUUAAAGAAAACCAACUUUAUGGACAACUGCCACAUAAUGUCAAUGAAAGUUGCAUGUUUGAGGCACUAGACUUGAGUGGCAACCGGAUUGAAGGACAGUUGCCAAAAUCUCUAACUUCUUGCAAGUACCUGGAGGUCCUUGAUAUCGGACACAAUCAAAUUAGUGACUCUCUUCCAUGUUGGAUGACUGCACUUCCCAGAUUUGAAGUCCUCGUCCUAAAGUCUAAUAAGAUACUUGGACAGCUGUCACCUUCUGUUGAUGAUGAGAAAAACACUUGUGAGUUUCCAAGGCUGCGGAUCCUGGAUCUGGCCUCCAACAACUUAUCAGGACAAAGUAGGAAUUUAAUGAAAAAUAGAAUAAGGAUAUACAAACAAAAACUAAUCCUAGUGAAAAGGCGGAAUAAAUGGGGUUGGUAA